CACUUUUUAUCCUCUUGGGUCGUAGCACAAAAAACGCAGCCUCGAGUGGCUGUGUACGUGAGGGCCAUGAGUUCACAACGAUUGGUCCAUCAUGAGGAUUUUUUGCCCCCCUUCUUUGCAGUUCGUACCUCUCUGUUACCGCGACCACGCGUCGUCAACAAGCCCUCAUGAUUCAUGAACCAUGUAUACUAUCUCUCUUGUGCUCAGACGCUCCUGGCACCCUCUCUGCCACCACAACCUUAAUGGAUGGCAUGGUGAAGUUGUUGUAUACAUUUGGAUUUCAAUUUCUGCACUUGAGUAUGGCGUGAUUCACCUCGGAUCUCCAUCCCGAUAUUUUUGGAUUCGAUUUAUGAAGAUCUUAAUUUGUAGUUUAUUUUUCGCAUGCUCGUGCUCCUUCUCGUCACUAACCUGGAACACUGCCUCCUCCAGCCCAGCGCGAGCCGAUUCAAAGUUUAUGAUAAGGGAAGAUUUAGAAUGUGAAUAGCCAAUUAUUUCAAUAUCUGUAGUUGUGUGGCACUAAGGCAUGAUUGAGAGACUAAAGGAGGGUGUUAUCAAGGCCGAAGGGUUGCAAUAAUUUAGAGUGACAGAAGAGGGUUUCGAGUUUGAUGCGAAGAAUUAUGAAAUUCAUGAUAACAAGAUGACCUCGCUGCUCUAAGUCAUCUCUCUACCUCUCAGCCUCUUGUGGCUAUCUGAAGCUUCUUUCUUGCCCUAUUUAUUUCAUACCAUGUACUUCAUACCAUAUCAUAAUUUUAAUAUGCAGGAACCAAGGUGAUAAUGGGGAGCUUUCAACUUCGCAUGAUGAAUUGUAUGAGAGUUCUGAUGACAUGAGCCUCUAAGAGAGCAUUUCUAGAUGCAUCAACACCUAAGACAUCAGCCUUCUUAGAUGCAUCUACCCAUUCUUUUCAAAUAUUUAACACUUUAUAUCCCAGGCAUCUUCGAAACACUAAUACUUCUGUUAAAUCACUUGCUUGUAGGACGAAAAUUUGCUAUGAUGGAGUUGACAAAGAUGCUCUGAGCUGGAGUUAAAAGUGAUGAAAAGAAAUUUCUGAAGUUGCAAAAGGAAGCAUCCUUUCACAGGGGGGGAAUCAGCAAAUAUGGUAAUAUAGUAAUAGUACAGACAAGCUAAUCUCUCUCAUAAUCCGAAUUUAAAUAUACUGUUUUUUCAUGUGUCAUGCGUUUUUACUGAACUGUGUAUGAAGUUGGUUGUUUAUUAGAAUUUGUUUUACGCGAUAAUUGUUUUAGCAUGCUAGCACAGUGAUAACACAAGUUACUAUUUUGCCUUUUUUUUUCAAUUUUCCGUGUAAUAGCAUGUGAUGUAGCUGUUUGGGGAGGACUUCUUAGCAGCUUUGAGGACCAACAAACCCAUCAUCUCUGUCUCUCUCUCUCACCCUCUGGCUCUCUCUUUCUGUCUCAACUCUCUCUACAUAUAUAUUUUUAUCUUUUCUACUGGAAAAUGAUCCGAGCCAUUGACUAAGAUAAAUGGGUUCAAGAUGGAAAAUGAUAUCUGUUGUGAGUUGUGACUGAUACUAGAUUUUUUUUGUAUGAGUAAGGAUAGUCUGGAGAAAAUACAAGAUGCCAUGGAAGGAACAAGUUAUUGUCUUUUAAA